UAUCCUGAGACUGACACCAGCUUGAGGUAGAGCACGAAGAGGGGUUAUGUGCUGCCUGGUGAAGUUCAUGUCUAAGCAACCCCUCUUCUGAAGAGAACUCCAAAAAAACAGUUUGUUUCUGGCAGCUGCCCCUUUCUGAAGUUGUGCCUUCUGGGUCAGAGAUGAAAGGAGCUGGCUGUAACCCUGUGCAACGGAAACCCUUUUUCCGA